GCCAGACUCCUACGGGAGGCAGCAGUGGGGGAUAUUGCACAAUGGGGGGAACCCUGAUGCAGCGACGCCGCGUGGGUGAAGGAGCGUUUCGGCGCGUAAAGCCCUAUCGGCAGGGAAGAAGGAGGACGGUACCUGACUAAGAAGCCCCGGCUAACUACGUGCCAGCAGCCGCGGUAAUACGUAGGGGGCAAGCGUUAUCCGGAUUUACUGGGUGUAAAGGGGGCGCAGACGGCAGCGCAAGCCAGGAGUGAAAGCCCGGGGCCCAACCCCGGGACUGCUCUUGGGACUGCGCGGCUGGAGUGCAGGAGGGGCAGGCGGAAUUCCUGGUGUAGCGGUGAAAUGCGUAGAUAUCAGGAGGAACACCGGUGGCGAAGGCGGCCUGCUGGACUGCGACUGACGUUGAGGCCCGAAAGCGUGGGGAGCAAACAGGAUUAGAUACCCCAGUAGU
rnacentral:rRNA from 1 species